rnacentral:lncRNA from 1 species
AAUCACCGGACUUUUCACAAAUCCCAAAUCUUGAAGAGUUGAUAUUGGAAGGGUGUUCUAGUUUGUCCGAGAUUCACCCCUCCAUUGGUCAUCUUAAAAAACUUUCUUUGGUGAACCUUACCCAAUGUUGGGAACUUAUUUCUCUUCCAAGGGAUUUCUAUAAAUUGAAAUCUGUUAAGACUCUUCUUCUUAAUGGAUGUUCAAAAUUCAUAGAACUGCAUGAGGAUAUAGGGGAGAUGAUAUCACUGAGAACACUUGAAGCAGAGCGAACAUCCAUAAGAGAAGUACCACCUUCCAUAGUAAGAUUGAAGAAUCUCACUGGUUUAUCCCUUGAUAAGUACCGCAUCAGUGUAAAGCUCAAAGGAGAAUACAAAUAUCUGUGUUGGGACCUAUGCCCUUUAAAGUCCAUACCAGAUGACUUUUUUAAUCAAGAUAAACUAGUUGUUUUACAGAUGCAGUAUAGCAAACUGGUACAAGUUUGGGAGGGUUCCAAGGUACAAUGAAUUACACGUGAUGAUGUUCUGUUUCUCUUUCUUUUUUUUAUAACAGCUUCAUUUCGGAUAUUAAUUUCAAUUUUCUUUUGAUUUUCUGCAACAGUCACUAUAUAACUUGAAAACCCUGGAUCUCAGCUGUUCCGAUUCCUUACAGAAAUCACCGGACUUUUCACAAGUCCCAAAUCUUGAAGAGUUGAUAUUGGAAGGGUGUUCUAGUUUGUCCGAGAUUCACCCCUCCAUUGGUCAUCUUAAAAAACUUUCUUUGGUGAACCUUACCCAAUGUUGGGAACUUAUUUCUCUUCCAAGGGAUUUCUAUAAAUUGAAAUCUGUUGAGACUCUUCUUCUUAAUGGAUGUUCAAAAUUCAUAGAAC